rnacentral:rRNA from 1 species
AUUGAACGCUGGCGGCAGGCCUAACACAUGCAAGUCGAAGGUAGUGGCGGACGGGUGAGUAACACGUGAGUAACCUGCCCUUUUCUUUGGGAUAAGCCUGGGAAACUGGGUCUAAUACUGGAUGGAUUGGGAUGGGCUCGCGGCUUAUCAGCGUGUUGGUGGGGUGAUGGCUUACCAAGGCUUUGACGGGUAGCCGGCCUGAGAGGGUGGGCGGUCACCCUGGAACUGAGACACGUGCCAGACUCCUACGGGAGGCAGCAGUGGGGAAUAUUGCACAAUGGGCGCAAGCCUGAUGCAGCCAUGCCGCGUGUAUGAAGAAGGCCUGCGGGUUGUAAAGUACUUUCAGCGGGGAGGCGUUACCCGCAGAAGAAGCACCGGCUAACUCCGUGCCAGCAGCCGCGGUAAUUC